rnacentral:lncRNA from 1 species
AUCGAGCGCUUCCUGCAGCCGCCUUUCCCGGCUCCUCCCCAGCGGGCAGGGGACUUGCCCAGGCAGCUGCCGCCCCACCCCGGGGCGCCAGGACUUCCCUCACCAGGAUCCAGGUCCCCGGCGCGGGCGGUGAAGUCCUGGACCUUAAGGGCCACCGGGCUGUGGGCGGGGAGGGCGCCCCCUCGGGCGCAGGGCGAGCAUGGCAGCCGGCGUGCUCCUCCCCGCUCCUUCCUCCUGGGGUUCAGAUGAGGAAACCGAGGCCCAGAGAAGUCGGGAGUCUUGUGCAGAGUCACACAGCUCGUCUCCUUGCUCGCCGAGCGCCCCUGGCGACAGUGAGAGUUAACAUGUGCUUAGAUCUUUCCGCGGUCCCGUGCGUGCGGCAGGUGCCCUUUUUACUCUCUGCUUUACCGUUGGAGAAACUGAGGCUCAGAAGUUAAGGACUACAAGGCUCUGCUCCUCUGGCAGCCAGGAAGGCUUGUCCUCCGCAAGGACUCCAGGAGUGAGACACAUUUACUUAACACGUGGUGCUGAGGACAGAACCCAGAACUGUGCAUGCGAAGACAGCGCUCUGCCAACGGAGCCACCUCCCAGCCCACCCAGCUGUCCGCCCCGGGGCCCAGGGCCUGCUAGGGAAGCCGUACCUGGGGCCCCCUCCACCCCGUGGGUCCGGAGGCCCGCACCCUGCCCGGGACGGAAGCUGGAGCAGAGAUGCCCCGCCAGCUCGGGACCCUCCCGGCCACCGCGGCUCCUCCUGGCCCCAGGUUCGAGCCUCGGGGACAGAGGCGCGGCUGCAGUUACCCAGAGAAGCCGCCAGGCGGCGCUGAGUCCCGAGCGCACGUGGGGCCGGCGAUCGGCCCCGGGAACCUAGUAAGGCGUCGGGGACUUGGAACCUUCCCCUAAGGGCGUCGUGUGGGCCUAAGGCCAGGUUGAGAAAGAGGCGGAAAGUGGAAAAUAGGGCGGAGGGUGAAAAAGUGAUGGGGGGGGGAAUGGUUAGAGGGGUUUAGGGACCUGCG